UGGGAGACAGUUGCUGAUUCCUGUUGCC
rnacentral:piRNA from 1 species